CUCAAGCCAUGCUGAGACGCCGGGGAAUUUUCUAAUAACUAAUAAAAAUCGAUUUACAUCUUCAAAUAAGAGUCUUCCUUAAGUCAUAAUCACCAGGCCCGCGAGUUCCAAUCAGACACUGGCCAACAGGACGCAUGAGUUGGUAGCCGUGGGCACAGGCCCCAGACCCCCGGGGCUGAGGCCCCUCAGGAGAGUCCUAGUCAGAAAUUCUCUUCGGAUGCCAGAAACAGCAGGUGCGCUUUACAUUUCCGGCUCCAAAACCACCCACAGCCCAUGCUGGCAGAAUUAAUCACAGGAAGGACUCGCUGCCGAUCGCUUUAUUUUUGAUCGAUACGAACCAGCCACACGGACAAGUCCCGAGUUCCGAAUCCCGAACCCGGCCGAGUCGCCAUCCACCGGGUGGAAACGACACGCAGGAGACCCGACCACGUUCUCGAGAAGCGCGAGCGCCGGAGAAGCGACUCCUGAGUUUUCGACGCAGGUUCCUUGACUGAGUAAGUCUCACAGCUUCAGAGAAAGACCUGUAGGGUUUACAGUGCCUACAGGUGAGUGCAAGGGUCUCUGCAGAAGAACCAGCAUGCAGUCAGAAAGCCACUUCUAUCAGAGCCCUGAAGAAGGAAUGGGAUUCAGGUAAGAAGAGAGCAGGGCAGGGAUAUGCUUUCAGAUAGGAGGAAGAGCAGGUGUGACGACCUAGGGGAAGAACAGUCAGAGGGAGCAAGAGAGAAAAUAUGAGUGCAUCUGGAGAACAAGUCAGGGGUGUUCAAAGGACACUUUAAGGACUCUGAGUUGUAUCUUAUAUAAGGUGAAAUUUGAUGUAGG
rnacentral:lncRNA from 1 species